AAGAGAUGGAGGAUAGAAGAUCAGCUGGAGCUGCCAUGAGGGGACAUCACUUUAUGGGAAAGAGGCUCAAUUGUUGAGAGAACAUUUCACAGCAUGGCAAGAGCCUAGGAUUAUGCCUACCCUUCCUGGUGAAUAACAGCUACAGGUAGCUAAAGGAUUUCUGUUCGUGCAAUGCAUAUUUCCUGUCAUUUCUCUAAAAUGGAAGAAGCAUUGGCUGUAAGGAAGACGCAGACUUCUAGACUACAUAAAUCUGUCAAAGAAGUUUAUCCAUUGUGAGUUUGUCUGGUAAUGAAAAUUCUGGCUUUACGCAUAAAUAAAU